UACGUAGGGGGCAAGCGUUAUCCGGAUUCAUUGGGCGUAAAGAGCGCGUAGGCGGAUUGUUAAGCGAGAUGUGAAAACCGGGGGCUCAACCCGCGGCCUGCAUCUCGAACUGGCAGUCUUGAGUCUGGUAGAGGAAAGUGGAAUUCCCAGUGUAGCGGUGAAAUGCGCAGAUAUUGGGAGGAACACCAGUGGCGAAGGCGGCUUUCUGGCCAGACUGACGCUGAGCGCGAAAGCU
rnacentral:rRNA from 1 species